rnacentral:rRNA from 1 species
GGGUUGUGAGGUUAAGCGACUAAGCGUACACGGUGGAUGCCCUGGCAGUCAGAGGCGAUGAAGGACGUGCUAAUCUGCGAUAAGCGUCGGUAAGGUGAUAUGAACCGUUAUAACCGGCGAUUUCCGAAUGGGGAAACCCAGUGUGUUUCGACACACUAUCAUUAACUGAAUCCAUAGGUUAAUGAGGCGAACCGGGGGAACUGAAACAUCUAAGUACCCCGAGGAAAAGAAAUCAACCGAGAUUCCCCCAGUAGCGGCGAGCGAACGGGGAGCAGCCCAGAGCCUGAAUCAGUGUGUGUGUUAGUGGAAGCGUCUGGAAAGGCGCGCGAUACAGGGUGACAGCCCCGUACACAAAAAUGCACAUGCUGUGAGCUCGAUGAGUAGGGCGGGACACGUGGUAUCCUGUCUGAAUAUGGGGGGACCAUCCUCCAAGGCUAAAUACUCCUGACUGACCGAUAGUGAACCAGUACCGUGAGGGAAAGGCGAAAAGAACCCCGGCGAGGGGAGUGAAAAAGAACCUGAAACCGUGUACGUACAAGCAGUGGGAGCACGCUUAGGCGUGUGACUGCGUACCUUUUGUAUAAUGGGUCAGCGACUUAUAUUCUGUAGCAAGGUUAACCGAAUAGGGGAGCCGAAGGGAAACCGAGUCUUAACUGGGCGUUAAGUUGCAGGGUAUAGACCCGAAACCCGGUGAUCUAGCCAUGGGCAGGUUGAAGGUUGGGUAACACUAACUGGAGGACCGAACCGACUAAUGUUGAAAAAUUAGCGGAUGACUUGUGGCUGGGGGUGAAAGGCCAAUCAAACCGGGAGAUAGCUGGUUCUCCCCGAAAGCUAUUUAGGUAGCGCCUCGUGAAUUCAUCUCCGGGGGUAGAGCACUGUUUCGGCAAGGGGGUCAUCCCGACUUACCAACCCGAUGCAAACUGCGAAUACCGGAGAAUGUUAUCACGGGAGACACACGGCGGGUGCUAACGUCCGUCGUGAAGAGGGAAACAACCCAGACCGCCAGCUAAGGUCCCAAAGUCAUGGUUAAGUGGGAAACGAUGUGGGAAGGCCCAGACAGCCAGGAUGUUGGCUUAGAAGCAGCCAUCAUUUAAAGAAAGCGUAAUAGCUCACUGGUCGAGUCGGCCUGCGCGGAAGAUGUAACGGGGCUAAACCAUGCACCGAAGCUGCGGCAGCGACACUAUGUGUUGUUGGGUAGGGGAGCGUUCUGUAAGCCUGUGAAGGUGUACUGUGAGGUAUGCUGGAGGUAUCAGAAGUGCGAAUGCUGACAUAAGUAACGAUAAAGCGGGUGAAAAGCCCGCUCGCCGGAAGACCAAGGGUUCCUGUCCAACGUUAAUCGGGGCAGGGUGAGUCGACCCCUAAGGCGAGGCCGAAAGGCGUAGUCGAUGGGAAACAGGUUAAUAUUCCUGUACUUGGUGUUACUGCGAAGGGGGGACGGAGAAGGCUAUGUUGGCCGGGCGACGGUUGUCCCGGUUUAAGCGUGUAGGCUGGUUUUCCAGGCAAAUCCGGAAAAUCAAGGCUGAGGCGUGAUGACGAGGCACUACGGUGCUGAAGCAACAAAUGCCCUGCUUCCAGGAAAAGCCUCUAAGCAUCAGGUAACAUCAAAUCGUACCCCAAACCGACACAGGUGGUCAGGUAGAGAAUACCAAGGCGCUUGAGAGAACUCGGGUGAAGGAACUAGGCAAAAUGGUGCCGUAACUUCGGGAGAAGGCACGCUGAUAUGUAGGUGAGGUCCCUCGCGGAUGGAGCUGAAAUCAGUCGAAGAUACCAGCUGGCUGCAACUGUUUAUUAAAAACACAGCACUGUGCAAACACGAAAGUGGACGUAUACGGUGUGACGCCUGCCCGGUGCCGGAAGGUUAAUUGAUGGGGUCAGCGCAAGCGAAGCUCUUGAUCGAAGCCCCGGUAAACGGCGGCCGUAACUAUAACGGUCCUAAGGUAGCGAAAUUCCUUGUCGGGUAAGUUCCGACCUGCACGAAUGGCGUAAUGAUGGCCAGGCUGUCUCCACCCGAGACUCAGUGAAAUUGAACUCGCUGUGAAGAUGCAGUGUACCCGCGGCAAGACGGAAAGACCCCGUGAACCUUUACUAUAGCUUGACACUGAACAUUGAGCCUUGAUGUGUAGGAUAGGUGGGAGGCUUUGAAGUGUGGACGCCAGUCUGCAUGGAGCCGACCUUGAAAUACCACCCUUUAAUGUUUGAUGUUCUAACGUUGACCCGUAAUCCGGGUUGCGGACAGUGUCUGGUGGGUAGUUUGACUGGGGCGGUCUCCUCCUAAAGAGUAACGGAGGAGCACGAAGGUUGGCUAAUCCUGGUCGGACAUCAGGAGGUUAGUGCAAUGGCAUAAGCCAGCUUGACUGCGAGCGUGACGGCGCGAGCAGGUGCGAAAGCAGGUCAUAGUGAUCCGGUGGUUCUGAAUGGAAGGGCCAUCGCUCAACGGAUAAAAGGUACUCCGGGGAUAACAGGCUGAUACCGCCCAAGAGUUCAUAUCGACGGCGGUGUUUGGCACCUCGAUGUCGGCUCAUCACAUCCUGGGGCUGAAGUAGGUCCCAAGGGUAUGGCUGUUCGCCAUUUAAAGUGGUACGCGAGCUGGGUUUAGAACGUCGUGAGACAGUUCGGUCCCUAUCUGCCGUGGGCGCUGGAGAACUGAGGGGGGCUGCUCCUAGUACGAGAGGACCGGAGUGGACGCAUCACUGGUGUUCGGGUUGUCAUGCCAAUGGCACUGCCCGGUAGCUAAAUGCGGAAGAGAUAAGUGCUGAAAGCAUCUAAGCACGAAACUUGCCCCGAGAUGAGUUCUCCCUGAC